rnacentral:rRNA from 1 species
UGCAAGUCGAGCGCCCUCUUCGGAGGGAGCGGCGGACGGGUUAGUAACGCGUGGGAACGUGCCCAGAUCUAAGGAAUAGCCACUGGAAACGGUGAGUAAUACCUUAUACGCCCUUCGGGGGAAAGAUUUAUCGGAUUUGGAUCGGCCCGCGUUAGAUUAGGUAGUUGGUGGGGUAAUGGCCUACCAAGCCUACGAUCUAUAGCUGGUUUGAGAGGAUGAUCAGCCACACUGGGACUGAGACACGGCCCAGACUCCUACGGGAGGCAGCAGUGGGGAAUAUUGCGCAAUGGAGGAAACUCUGACGCAGCCAUGCCGCGUGAGUGAAGAAGGCCCUAGGGUUGUAAAGCUCUUUCAGACGUGAUGAUGAUGACAGUAGCGUCAAAAGAAGUUCCGGCUAACUUCGUGCCAGCAGCCGCGGUAAUACGGAGGGGGUUAGCGUUGUUCGGAAUUACUGGGCGUAAAGCGCGCGUAGGCUGACUAUUAAGUCAGAGGUGAAAUCCCGGGGCUCAACCCCGGAACUGCCUUUGAUACUGGUAGUCUUGAGUUCGAGAGAGGUAAGUGGAAUUCCGAGUGUAGAGGUGAAAUUCGUAGAUAUUCGGAGGAACACCAGUGGCGAAGGCGGCUUACUGGCUCGAUACUGACGCUGAGGUGCGAAAGUGUGGGGAGCAAACAGGAUUAGAUACCCUGGUAGU